rnacentral:rRNA from 1 species
AACGUAGGACACAAGCGUUAUCCGGAAUUACUGGGCGUAAAGGGCUCGUAGGUGGCCAACUAAGUCAGACGUGAAAUCCCUCGGCUUAACCGGGGAACUGCGUCUGAUACUGAUUGGCUUGAGUGUGGGAGAGGGAUGCGGAAUUCCAGGUGUAGCGGUGAAAUGCGUAGAUAUCUGGAGGAACACCGGUGGCGAAGGCGGCAUCCUGGACCACGACUGACGCUGAGGAGCGAAAGCGUGGGGAGCGAACAGG